UGCAAGUCGAGCGAUGAAGCUUCCUUCGGGAAGUGGAUUAGCGGCGGACGGGUGAGUAACACGUGGGUAACCUGCCUCAAAGUGGGGGAUAGCCUUCCGAAAGGAAGAUUAAUACCGCAUAACAUAAGAGAAUCGCAUGAUUUUCUUAUCAAAGAUUUAUUGCUUUGAGAUGGACCCGCGGCGCAUUAGCUAGUUGGUAAGGUAACGGCUUACCAAGGCAACGAUGCGUAGCCGACCUGAGAGGGUGAUCGGCCACAUUGGAACUGAGACACGGUCCAGACUCCUACGGGAGGCAGCAGUGGGGAAUAUUGCGCAAUGGGGGAAACCCUGACGCAGCAACGCCGCGUGGGUGAUGAAGGUCUUCGGAUUGUAAAGCCCUGUUUUCUGGGACGAUAAUGACGGUACCAGAGGAGGAAGCCACGGCUAACUACGUGCCAGCAGCCGCGGUAAUACGUAGGUGGCGAGCGUUGUCCGGAUUUACUGGGCGUAAAGGGUGCGUAGGCGGAUGUUUAAGUGGGAUGUGAAAUCCCCGGGCUUAACCUGGGGGCUGCAUUCCAAACUGGAUAUCUAGAGUGCAGGAGAGGAAAGCGGAAUUCCUA
rnacentral:rRNA from 1 species